GGCCUCUUGGUGCUUGCCAGAGACUGUUCUUCACAGACAUACAGAAAGAGGAAGGAGAGUAAAUCCAUCCAACAUAUAUACUCAGCCCAGGGCUGGAGAAAGUGC
rnacentral:snoRNA from 1 species